UACAUAGGGUGCAAGCGUUGUCCGGAAUUAUUGGGCGUAAAGAGCUCGUAGGUCGUUUGCCGCGUCGAUUGUGAAAAUCUGAGGCUCAACCUCAGACCUGCAGUCGAUACGGGCAAACUAGAGUGUGGUAGGGGAGACUGGAAUUCCUGGUGUAGCGGUGGAAUGCGCAGAUAUCAGGAGGAACACCAAUGGCGAAGGCAGGUCUCUGGGCCAUAACUGACACUGAGGAGCGAAAGCGCGGGGAGCGAACAGGAUUAGAUACCCUGGUAGUCCGCGCCGUAAACGAUGGGCACUAGCUGUGAGAGCCUUCCACGGUUCUCGCGACGCAGCAAACGCAUUAAGUGCCCCGCCUGGGGAGUACGAUCGCAAGAUUAAAACUCAAAGGAAUUGACGGGGCCCCGCACAAGCAGCGGAGCAUGCGGCUUAAUUCGACGCAACGCGAAGAACCUUACCAAGGCUUGACAUAUAGCGAAAAGUGGCAGAGAUGUCAUGUCCGCAAGGGCGCUAUACAGGUGGUGCAUGGUUGUCGUCAGCUCGUGUCGUGAGAUGUUGGGUUAAGUCCCGCAACGAGCGCAACCCUCGUUCUGUGUUACCAGCAUUCAGUUGGGGACUCACAGGAGACUGCCGGGGUCAACUCGGAGGAAGGUGGGGAUGACGUCAAAUCAUCAUGCCCCUUAUGUCUUGGGCUGCACGCAUGCUACAAUGGCCGGUACAAAGUGCUGCGAAAUCGUAAGAUUUAGCGAAUCACAUAAAGCCGGCCUCAGUUCGGAUUGAGGUCUGCAACUCGACCUCAUGAAGUCGGAGUUGCUAGUAAUCGUGGAUCAGCAACGCUACGGUGAAUACGUUCCCGGGGCU
rnacentral:rRNA from 1 species